CUGCCGGCAAAGCCCUCUUCAACCCACUGGAGUCAGCAGGCCCAGUGCUUCAUAAACCAAGUUAUGAGAGCAGAGCUGAGAAUUUCUAAGGAGACUCCUUUUUAAAGCCUUUUACUUCACCUCCUCUCUAACAGCUAGAACGGUCACUGCGCAGGAUCGAGCUACAAUGAAGAGGAGGGAGGCAGUCUGCACGCACCGCCAUUUUCUAGGAACUGGGAAGCCCCCCCACCCCUUAGGAAGAUCCAUCCCUGUGGAACCUUGCCAAGGCUUACCAGCCUUUGCUGAGCUUGAUCUAUUGUCCCUCCUUGUCCCCAUCAAAAUAUCCAGCACUCCACCUUCAGGGAGUAGACUUGACCCUCAAAUAGCAAGUUCAGCCUUCCCAGGUCUAGGUUCCCUGGGAGGUCAAGAUUCGUCUGGUUCCUUAGUACAGAGGGCUAGCUGUGAGUUGGAAUCCCCCUAUGAGCUUUAGAAUCAGUCAAGAGAAACUGGGCCCCUUCCCUUCAUCCCUCUUCUUUUCCCUUUUUGUCCCAGAGCUCAGCUCUGACUCAAAGUUUUUCCAUUUACCAUCAACAUGGAAACUUGGCUCCUCACAUGCCUAUAUUAUCCCCCUUUUGCACAUGGUCUUGUUGAUCAAAACUCCCUUUCUGUGAAAGAGGCCUGUGGGGCUCAAGAAGCCUGGUCAGCCAGCCAGGCUAGUCCCACAUACCUCAGAACCAGUUUAAUAAAGGCUCUAUGUCAUU
rnacentral:antisense_RNA from 1 species